rnacentral:lncRNA from 1 species
CUCUAUCAUCCCCGAGGGCUUUCAUCCUCUGCAUGGUAGAGACUGUAAAUCCUAGCUGAUAAGGAGUAAGGCAUGGUGGAGGCAUACUCGUGGUCCUAAGACUUAGGUCCAUAAGGGGCACAUAUCACAUUAUGUUCCGUGGAGAAAAACAAUGAAAUGACUCCAUUAUGACAAGGAGGCUGGAAAAUUCCGUUUAGUUUUGAAUCUAGAAAUAAAGGGAAAAUGCAUUUUGGUAGGCAACUAACAGUCUUCACCUGUGCUGUUUUGGUUGAUCAUAUUGAGGUUUCGCAAUGAUGUGCAGUUUUUCCUCCGGAAAAAGGUUACCUGCAAAUCAUAUUUAAUGCUAUUAAUUCCCAAUCCAUAUGUAAAUGUACAAGAAGGCUAUAUGGGAAAGAGCAUUUCUUGAAUUCAAGUUUGGAAUCUUUAAAUGUUUAUCUGAAGAUCUAAGAGGAAAGUCCAAUAUUUAGAAGAAUCCCCGACACGAGAGCUCAGCAUGGCUUACACCGUGAUUUCAGCCAGCCUUGUGAUAUUCUGAGCAGAGAACUUGGCCAUUCUGUGCUGGACUUCUGACCUACAGAACUAACCUUCUAGAAUCAGCUGUUUGCAGCUACCUCCCCCCUAAGACUGUGAGGGCAGGGACGGUGGCCUACUCAUAUUUGAAUUCCUAUGGAGUCCCCAUCCUUCCAGAAGAAAACCAGCUGAAGCGUUCAGGAGCUGAUUACUUUCUUCACAGAGAAGAAUGAUGUGAGGGUGGGGCCAGGUGCUACUUAGAAAUGUGGGUGAUUCUCAAAAUGGAUAACAAGAAGAGGAUUGAAUUCUGCAUCAAAAGACCUUGAUGGUUUGUAUUUGGAUAAGUCGUGUGGAAUUAUCUGUAAGGUCACUGCAAACAAUGAGAAAGCUAAAUUGACUGCCUGAAAAACAAAUUGGAUAUUUUGGGAUUGUGAGGUUUGCAAGAAGAGCACAAAUGUGAGAAAACUCUUGAGGGAUCAAGAGACCACAGGAGAGCAUCAGGAGAGAAGUAGACUUGUGAGAAAAUGUCCACAUUGGCGAUGGCUGAGAGGAUUUUGUUUUGAGACCAACAGGGUCUGAGAAAUUAAAAGUAAUUUUUGCUCAAAGCAGAAGUCAUCAUCAACAAAUAAUUUUCCUCUCAGCUUUAUUGAGGUGUAAUCGCAAGAUAUUUAAAGUGUACACAUGAUGAUUUGAUCUGAAUUCUGAUCAUUCUCCCCUGAUCUUGUUUCAACUUGGAUUACAACUUCCUCAUGUAUGAUGCAUCGAGUUAAUAGGAUUUGUAUCGCCAUAGGCACUGUUGCCAUUUCCUAUGCAAUAGCAGGCAAGUGGAGAUGCUGAUUAGAAAUAUGGUAAUGAAA